GCUUCGGCGAGGUUGAGGGAGGGACCCACAGACUUGGAGAAGGACGUGCCUUGCAGGUUGGGAUGCAGCAGAGAGAAAAACAUCUGGACAAAUAAAAGAC